UUUAAAUGUAAAUUAUAUAAACUUGAGUAGUAUUAGUUAUGUUCUUGAAACUCAAAGAAUUUGGCGGUGUUUUAGUCUGUUCAGAGGAACCUGUCCCGUAAUCGAUAUUCCACGUUAAACCUUACUUAUUUUUGUUAUCAGCUUGUAUACCGCCGUCGUCAGAAUGUCCUAAGAAGGGUUUAAUUUUCUUAAAUUUUUAUUAAAAAUGAUGUCAGGUCAAGGUGUAGCUUACGAAUAAGUGGUGAUGGGUUACAAUAAAUAUAUUUAUAACGGAUAAAAUUUUGAAAUAAAUUUUUGAAGGUGGAUUUGACGGUAAUUAACUUAAUUAAAUUAAUUUGAUUUUAGCUCUAAAACAUGC
rnacentral:rRNA from 1 species